AUGGAAACAGGUAGGUAAUAUUAGGUCUGUGCAAUAGAUCACUCUCCCUUUUGACUUGAAAAAUUAACUCAGCGAAAUCAACUCCCAGCAUCAUCAUCAUCAUACUGCAGCCGAACGAAUUUUCCCGGAAAAAAGCGAAUGUUAACAAGACCCAAGCGAAUUGCAGCCACAAUAAAAAUCACACACUGAAAAUUCUUCAUCUGACUAUUGCUGAAAUUUGGAGCGAAAACGAACCGAAUUCAGGACCCCAGGGAUAAACACAACUUUGCUUGCAGUUUGCCACAAAGUGACUUUCACACCGACGGAGCCGUAAAAUGAAAUCAGGGGCUGAGAUUUGUGGAUGCUCAGGUGGCAGAGGUGGAGCUGAUGAGUUUUAGCAAAAGGAAGAGCAUAUGUUUUAUCACUAAGCUGAAGGUUUUUACAUGGGAAGGGUAUACG